AAGGCCUUUAACAAAAUCAUUUGAUGUUGCUUCAAUUAGACGGAAAUAUAUAUGUGUAGACAUAUAUGCGUACCCACACAUAAUCUUAUUUCCUUGUCCUGUUUGUCUAGAAGAGGAAGAUCCAAGUUAUCUUGCCCCACCAAUCAGCAGCAGGCGAGUGGAGGGCAGGCUAGCGGAGGGGAUAGGUAGACUUUCCCGUGUAACGGUCUGGGGCUGGGUCAUUACUGCAUAUUUAGUUUUUCUUCAAUUGCAUCUUUCUCCCAUAAACACUAAGGUCUUUAGAGCAUUUUCCUAUCACCAUUGUUUUUCUUUUCGCGCAGCUGCGCACAUGUUAAUAUUAGCCAUCCCUCUGUCGUCCUCUCUGGGGGACCUCGCUCAAAUUUACGGAGUGGAGGAAAAGGGAUGCUAUGAUUAAUAUGUGCCCUCUUAAAAAAUUGGAAGCUUGGGGGUGGGCUGACUUUUCAAAAUGCUAACUUGUGCGUGGGAACCAGAAAGACUUGUGUUUUUCAUCAAAUGCAAAAAUCAGCAUUUGGGGGAAAAAUUCACAUAAUGCGUUUUCCAUGAAAUCGCAUCGUUCUUGAGAUGGCUCUUCCGAAUGGAAAGAGAGUCGUGCAGAUUGUUGGCGCCAUCAGGCCGUGUGUAGAGCAGGAUUUCAUCGAAAGUGAAAUUAAAAAUAAAGGGCCGGUUUGGAGAUUUAAUUACAGUUCUUUGUGUUAGAGUUUGCAAAGUGAAUCUGGAAUACUAUUUGGCUAUCUAGGAGAAUUUGUCGCGCGGGUCAUUUGGAGAUCCCGAGAGCGCCAAGCUGGGGAAGUAGGGCGGGGGCGCCGGCGUUUAUGCCGUCUUUCCACCCACCCUCGCCUAAUCAGGCGGCUCUCAAUCAGGUUUUCAAAAUACUAAUCUUGAUCUAAGAGCGCCUAUCUCUGCAUAAGUGGAGGAAAUGAUUCAUUUUUAGAGGCUUCUGGGCUUGGGGAAGAAGAAUGGUCGUCAGACAUGGGGAGAAGACCUGAAAGACUGGUCUGGCGUCGCUUUACUCCAGGCGCUCGGCAAAAUGCUGACAGGUCCCCCGGUGAGUUGCGCGCACCCAGCUUUGUCCGAUAGGCCUUGGGCGAAUGAGCAACAAAGCAAGAUCAGUGGCAGAAACCUGAACCUGUUUCUACAGCAGUGUCAAAGUACACAGUGGAGAGAACAAAAAAAUCUAACUCUCUAGCCGCUUCCCGGUUAUAGAAUACAAUGUCUAAUUAUCCGUGAAUAGAUCAAAACCUGGAUUGAACAUUGCCGGCUGAGAUUCAAAGGCUUGGGCUCAGCUCUUUUCCACCUAGACAAAACUCUGGUUACUGUGUGGAGUAAGCAGAAGCUGUGGUGCCUGGUUCAGAUUGUGUGAAGGCAUCGCAUCUCACCCUCUGUCCCGCUUGGGAGAAGAAGUCUUUAGAAAUGGGCUCCACAAAACAAACAGGUGAAUAAAAUUGAUCCCUACAGGUUUUCCUGCAGCUGUAGGUUUUGAGCACCCUGUGAUAUUCUGACUCUCUGAAACCCAGUCCAAUGACAGGCAUCAGACAAUGAACGUUUGCUUUUUGAAUGAGAGAAUGUAUGUGCUGGCAAGCACAGAGAGUUUCAUGCCUUUCUCCACCUUCUUAGUUCUAGCGCCUCUUACUUUGCUUUGGUUACCUUCUUGCCCAGUUCCUGCAUCUUGAAGUUCUGACAUAACUGAGGGGAUUUCUGGGCUCCACUUUUCACCUAGGAUGAGAGGCUUAUAAUCUUCAAUGGAUCCUCAGACAUCGUGUUGGCAAUUAAAUUAGGAAACCUGCUCUAGGUGCCUAAGAGACCAUCCCAGUCUGAGACUCUUUUUAUAGAGGAGCUUAUCAGAAAUCGGAGUAGGAAUGUGCUGGAUCAGUAGAAACCUGGGGCAAGCUUCCUAUAGACCCACUCUGAAUGCACACAGGGAAAUGCUGUGCACAUUGGCUGGACGUUGACAUAGGUUUUAGCUUGUUCCAGGAUAAGAAGGGGACCCAGAGUGGACAAUCUGAAUGGCAGCCGAGGUCAUUCAGAGCCAGAUGCUGCUGCAAGCAAUCCUUCCUGACCUGGAAAAUAGAUGCAUCCUCGAUUACAGUCCACGAGAUGGAGAAAGAAUGCCAAGGAACUCACAGGUGGUGGAUGGAGUCUUAAUUAUUGAGCCUGACAGGUCCCUGCUCUGUGCCAGGUCCCAGUUGUGUGUCCUGGGUACCUUGGUGGCUUAGUCUGCCAUCCUUGUCUGGACUCACCAUGCAACUUGAUGGCUGGAGUCCUGAAGUCCUGGAAAAGGACUGGAAGAGGCCUGGAGACCUGGAAUGGUUGAACCAGCCUCUGAGGUGUUGAAUUUACCCAACACUAAGAGGGAAAACACUAGGGCUUUAUUCUGAAAACUCCAGUUUCCUGUCAGAUGAAACCAAGAAGAUUUGCAAAUUCAGACAUAGCUGCUACAGGCUUAUAAACAUGGCAGAACUACUCAUUUUUGAAGUGGUUAAUCCCACUCAUCCAUCAAAUAGCCGCCCCUUCCUCAGGAGAAGCUCCAACAGACAUUUUUGUAAAAGGCAUCUUUACAUUACACCAUCUUUUGGUAAUAACACCUUGACCUGGCUAAGAGUUUUUCAGUUUGCACCAUUAUUGCUUUUGAGUCUUAAAGUCAGAAGAAGCAAUAUGCAGCAGUUUCUUCUGAAGAUUUAAUAUAUGCAAUGCCUUUUCAAGGUUUCUUCCUCCUAACCCUCCACUUCAGAACACUUUUGCCCUGCUUCAGUAAUUUUAGGAAUAUUGGGGGGGAGAACCUUCCAUAUUAAAAAAAAUAAUCUGUAUUAAUCUAUGUAAAUCUGUCUUUUAAAGGUCAGCAUGGAGGAAAGAAAUAGGUAGUUUGUAAACUAAGCCAAAAUUGCUGCUUCAUUAACCCACCCCUCCCCCAGGAUGAGGUAACUUUUUUCCUAACAAGACUUUACAGUUUCAGAGAUAAAUGUGCACUUUUUAAAAAGAAGUAUCAUCGAUUAUUUAGCGUUACCCAAUAUAUAAAGUCCUAAUAGUCAUCUAUGAGGUAGAUAUUACUAUGCCUGAUUCACAGAGGGGUAACCUGAAUCUCUUAGAGGCAGCACAAAUUCUCAGGACAAAUUAGCGACAGAGGCUGAACCGGAACCCAUUUCAACGUCUUAACCAUU